UUUGCUAGUAUGUGGUUCAUUCUCCUCUUUGUUUCCAUUUUCGCUACUGGAAUACUUGAGCUCAGGUGGAGUGGAGUCAGCAUUGAAGAUUGGUGGAGAAAUGAACAAUUCUGGGUCAUUGGUGGGACAUCAGCCCAUCUCUUUGCUGUGUUCCAAGGGCUUUUGAAGGUGCUUGCUGGGAUUGAUACCAACUUUACUGU
rnacentral:misc_RNA from 1 species